rnacentral:rRNA from 1 species
GACGAACGCUGGCGGCGUGCUUAACACAUGCAAGUCGAACGGAAAGGCCCUGCUUUUGUGGGGUGCUCGAGUGGCGAACGGGUGAGUAACACGUGAGUAACCUGCCCUUGACUUUGGGAUAACUUCAGGAAACUGGGGCUAAUACCGGAUAGGAGCUCCUGCUGCAUGGUGGGGGUUGGAAAGUUUCGGCGGUUGGGGAUGGACUCGCGGCUUAUCAGCUUGUUGGUGGGGUAGUGGCUUACCAAGGCUUUGACGGGUAGCCGGCCUGCGAGGGUGACCGGCCACAUUGGGACUGAGAUACGGCCCGGACUCCUACGGGAGGCAGCAGUGGGGAAUAUUGCACAAUGGGCGGAAGCCUGAUGCAGCAACGCCGCGUGCGGGAUGACGGCCUUCGGGUUGUAAACCGCUUUCGCCUGUGACGAAGCGUGAGUGACGGUAAUGGGUAAAGAAGCACCGGCUAACUACGUG